rnacentral:lncRNA from 1 species
GAUUGUGGAAGUACAGAGCUUUCAAACGUAAAACACCACUAGGCUUAACACCAAAGGGUUAAUUGUCAAUUUACCCCGUGAACUUGUAUGCUACUUUCAAUUUGCACCCUGACCUAUUUUUUAUCGCCAAUUCCCACCUACUGUCUAAACCAACUUUUUGACAUCCAAUAGUCCAUCAAAUUGUCACUGUUCAAAGGGUAGUUUCGUCUCUCCACCCUAAUAACUCCACUCAGCCCCUUUCCCAAUCACACAAGUCGUUGAUUUAAAAAGAAACAAGAAAAACAAAAGUCACUGAAGGGUCAAUUCGCACAACUAUUAGUAAAGUAGGGUUUGUUUUGGGGAAGAAGAUAUUCGACGAUUCAGCACUGAAUAGAUGAUUUGAAGACUGGGGGAAAUUGGUGAGAGUCUUGAAUACGGGUUUUGUGAAUUCGACGAAAUAUGGCUCCGAUUAUGCGUAGCAGUGGCCGUCCUCCGAAGUACUGUAAGUCUUAUUUUUUCUCUUUUUGAAUUCACUCUCUUAACUCUUUUUCUUUUUUCUUUUUUCUUUUUUUGGAAUAAAUGCUUUAUUAAAAUAAUAAACAUCAUAAGAAUGUACAUAAGAUAGCACUGAAAACAACCAAUACUAUUCAAAACCCGAACAUGAGAGACAGGAACAAAUGUGUCAUCUUUUUAAAUUAUCUUUAGUUUAUCUUUCCCUUUCCCACUACUCUUUCGUUCCUUCGCACCCUCUGCAUUUUUUGUCUCUCUUUCUUCUACAUUCAUCAUCCGCCUGCAAUCUUCUCUUGUCUACUAAUUAAUUUGUGGCUUGAAGCAAAUGAGAGGGAAAAAAAAGUAGCUAUUAUCUCCUAUAUGGUCUGUUGGAACAAAGAAAUCUUCCAUAUCUUCUCUACUAAUUUGGAUUUUCUUCGAGUUUCUCAUAUGCUAUGUUUUAGCUUUAACUUUAUAUUCAGCAUCUUCAUAACCAAUAUUUAUUAAAAGAAAACUAUUAGGUGAUAAAAAUAAAAUAUGAAGAAGAAACUGGAUUGUACGAUACUACAAAUUAAAAUAUAACACUACUAUAUAAAAAUUUGUAAUAAUUACUGGUGGGAAAUUGUAAGAUGUAGAGGGGACGAAUGAAUGGAGAAGAGAGAGAUAAAGAGACGCAGAGGGACGAGUGGCAAGAGCCAAAUAGGAAAUGAAGAGAAUGAAAACUAAUCAAAAACAUGAUAUUAUAGACACAAAGACCCAGUUUCUCUCCAACGCCCACAAGUUGGCUAGAUUAAUGUGAUCCACCUUGCAACUUCUUGUGUAGAUUAUUAAAACAAUGAUUUAUCAAUAUUAAUCUUAAUUCUAGUUUGUUAUUUAGAUGGAAUGGUUUGCUGAAAUUGGAUGGCUAGUUUGUGAUUUCAGGGUUACUGGAAAAGCAAAAAGGGAGGUGGUGUUAAUGACAAGGCACGAAGAAGAGAAGAAGACGUGCCUUGUGUCAAUAAGCUAGCAAAACUUAAUUAAAUGAUGAGUGAGGAAAUGCAAAAGUCAAUUAAAAUUUAUUUUCUAUAAAUGCUUAUUUAAAGAAUAAAAUAAUUAAUUUGUUUAAUCAAAUCCAUUAAUAGUGGGUUUAAAACUUGUGUCAAAAUUUGUGUCAAAAACAUGGUAUCAUGGAUCCACCCCCAUAUAUAGCUUUCAAUGGCUUUAAAAGAAGUAAAAAUGAAAAAUUAAUUAAGUAAAACAAAUAAUAAAUAAACAUCUUCCAAUAGGGCAAGCCACAUAGCAGACAACACCUCUUUAGAUAAACAUCUUCCCGCUACAUUCUUCUAUAACAAGCAGAUAGAGAAACAAAUAAAGGUAGGUACCCUUCUCUUGUAUUCAGUGAAGCAGGCCGUCUAUACUGAAACUGCUCUUCAAUAAAAACCAACAUUUCAGCUGCACACUACUUCAACAGCAAGCUUCUUAGAUACACUGGGACACAAAUCCUCAUAAAACUUCUCUUCUGUUAAUUCUAUGGCACAUUUGUUUUGAUUUAAGCAUACCUGCAAUAAGUAGAAAGCAUCUUGGGAAACUGAGAAUAUAAUUAAAAUGGAAAUAUUUCAAUUCUAUGAGAUGAUGGUGUGGUUUAUGCACAUGACUAGCUAAAGCUGGAAAUUUAUGCUAGUGCAAGGCAUGAGGUUUUUGGAUCUGAUGACAGUUUGAGGAAGACUUUCGCUAGAGCAGAAGUGGCUAAAUCACAGGAUCAAGUCACUGAAGCCGAGGCUUUUUCAACACUGGAAACAUAUAUCUCCCCAAAAAUUCG